rnacentral:lncRNA from 10 species
CUCCUCGGAUGUCACCAGGCUGCUGGAGACCCUCUCCCAGAUGGAGAGAUACCAGCAACAUUCCAUGGUGUUUCUGGGACGGCGAUCAAGGACCAAGAGCGACCUGAGCCUGAAGAUGUACCAGGAGGAGAUCCAGAGAUGGUAUCGCUCUGUCACCUGGGCUGGAGUCCAGUGGCGUGAUCAUAGCUCACUGUAGCCUCCAACCCCUGGGCUCAAGUGAUCCUCCCCACUCAGCCUACCCAAGCAGCUGGAACUACAGGAGUGGUAUGAGGAGCAUGCCAGGGAGCAAGAGCAGCAGCGACAACUCAGCAG